GGUCGCAUGGUCUAGCUGGUUAGGACGCCUGCCUGUCACGCAGGAGAUCGCGGGUUCGAUCCCCGCUGUGACCGCUA
rnacentral:tRNA from 3 species